GACGAACGCUGGCGGCGUGCUUAACACAUGCCAGUCGAACGGUGAACCUCUUCGGAGGGGAUCAGUGGCGAACGGGUGAGUAACACGUGGGCAACCUGCCCCCGGCUCUGGGAUAACUCCAAGAAAUUGGGGCUAAUACCGGAUGUUCACCGCUUCCCGCAUGGGUGGUGGUGGAAAGGGUUUCCGGCUGGGGAUGGGCCCGCGGCCUAUCAGCUUGUUGGUGGGGUAGUGGCCUACCAAGGCGACGACGGGUAGCCGGCCUGAGAGGGUGACCGGCCACACUGGGACUGAGACACGGCCCAGACCCCUACGGGAGGCAGCAGUGGGGAAUAGUGCGCAAUGGGCGGAAGCCUGACGCAGCGACGCCGCGUGGGGGAUGACGGCCUUCGGGUUGUAAACCUCUUUCAGCAGGGACGAAGCGCAAGUGACGGUACCUGCAGAAGAAGCACCGGCCAACUACGUG
rnacentral:rRNA from 1 species